rnacentral:rRNA from 1 species
AGAGUUUGAUCCUGGCUCAGAUUGAACGCUGGCGGCAGGCCUAACACAUGCAAGUCGAGCGGUAGCACAGAGAGCUUGCUCUCGGGUGACGAGCGGCGGACGGGUGAGUAAUGUCUGGGAAACUGCCUGAUGGAGGGGGAUAACUACUGGAAACGGUAGCUAAUACCGCAUAACGUCGCAAGACCAAAGUGGGGGACCUUCGGGCCUCAUGCCAUCAGAUGUGCCCAGAUGGGAUUAGCUGGUAGGUGGGGUAACGGCUCACCUAGGCGACGAUCCCUAGCUGGUCUGAGAGGAUGACCAGCCACACUGGAACUGAGACACGGUCCAGACUCCUACGGGAGGCAGCAGUGGGGAAUAUUGCACAAUGGGCGCAAGCCUGAUGCAGCCAUGCCGCGUGUGUGAAGAAGGCCUUCGGGUUGUAAAGCACUUUCAGCGGGGAGGAAGGCGGUGAGGUUAAUAACCUCACCGAUUGACGUUACCCGCAGAAGAAGCACCGGCUAACUCCGUGCCAGCAGCCGCGGUAAUACGGAGGGUGCAAGCGUUAAUCGGAAUUACUGGGCGUAAAGCGCACGCAGGCGGUCUGUCAAGUCGGAUGUGAAAUCCCCGGGCUCAACCUGGGAACUGCAUUCGAAACUGGCAGGCUAGAGUCUUGUAGAGGGGGGUAGAAUUCCAGGUGUAGCGGUGAAUGCGUAGAGAUCUGGAGGAAUACCGGUGGCGAAGGCGGCCCCCUGGACAAAGACUGACGCUCAGGUGCGAAAGCGUGGGGAGCAAACAGGAUUAGAUACCCUGGUAGUCCACGCUGUAAACGAUGUCGAUUUGGAGGUUGUGCCCUUGAGGCGUGGCUUCCGGAGCUAACGCGUUAAAUCGACCGCCUGGGGAGUACGGCCGCAAGGUUAAAACUCAAAUGAAUUGACGGGGGCCCGCACAAGCGGUGGAGCAUGUGGUUUAAUUCGAUGCAACGCGAAGAACCUUACCUGGUCUUGACAUCCACAGAACUUUCCAGAGAUGGAUUGGUGCCUUCGGGAACUGUGAGACAGGUGCUGCAUGGCUGUCGUCAGCUCGUGUUGUGAAAUGUUGGGUUAAGUCCCGCAACGAGCGCAACCCUUAUCCUUUGUUGCCAGCGGUCCGGCCGGGAACUCAAAGGAGACUGCCAGUGAUAAACUGGAGGAAGGUGGGGAUGACGUCAAGUCAUCAUGGCCCUUACGACCAGGGCUACACACGUGCUACAAUGGCAUAUACAAAGAGAAGCGACCUCGCGAGAGUAAGCGGACCUCAUAAAGUAUGUCGUAGUCCGGAUUGGAGUCUGCAACUCGACUCCAUGAAGUCGGAAUCGCUAGUAAUCGUAGAUCAGAAUGCUACGGUGAAUACGUUCCCGGGCCUUGUACACACCGCCCGUCACACCAUGGGAGUGGGUUGCAAAAGAAGUAGGUAGCUUAACCUUCGGGAGGGCGCUUACCACUUUGUGAUUCAUGACUGGGGUGAAGUCGUAACAAGGUAGCCGU